rnacentral:rRNA from 1 species
UAGGGAAUCUUCCGCAAUGGACGCAAGUCUGACGGAGCAACGCCGCGUGAGUGAAGAAGGAUUUCGGUUCGUAAAACUCUGUUGUUAGAGAAGAACAGCGCAUAGAGUAACUGUUAUGCGUGUGACGGUAUCUAACCAGAAAGCCACGGCUAACUACGUGCCAGCAGCCGCGGUAAUACGUAGGUGGCAAGCGUUGUCCGGAUUUAUUGGGCGUAAAGCGAGCGCAGGCGGUCAAUUAAGUCUGAUGUGAAAGCCCCCGGCUCAACCGGGGAGGGGCAUUGGAAACUGGUUGACUUGAGUGCAGAAGAGGAGAGUGGAAUUCCAUGUGUAGCGGUGAAAUGCGUAGAUAUAUGGAGGAACACCAGUGGCGAAGGCGACUCUCUGGUCUGUAACUGACGCGGAGGCUCGAAAGCGUGGGUAGCAAACAGG